CGUAAUUGCAGGUUUACAAAUCACACCAUGCUGUAAUUAGUCCAACUCAGUCUAUACAGGUCCAAAUGCAUUGAUUCCAAAGGCAUGCGGUAGCUACGACCUCAAGCUACAUUUCAUAAGAAGACACCAACAUUCAAAUCCAAAGAAAUUCCAGUCAAAAUGGCCAAUUACAAGUGCAGUUUUCGCAUUCUGAUCAACCCAGAACAGCAACAGUAAAAUCGACAUAUCUCACUCUACACAACUCCAAAUGACCUGAAAUUUUGCAGACACCUCUAAAUUAUCAUUCCAUACAACUUUCAUGAAGACCACUCAGUCCAUUUCUCACCCUAACUAGGUCAUAUUUACCAAAACAACCCCAGAUUUUCUAGUUCGAAGCUCACUGUGGCAGUUCUGAUUCAUUCAGUCAUAACUCAGCACACACAACUCCAAAUCAAGUAAUUCCAAAGCCAUUUAAAAGCUAAGAUACAAGGUUAGAAUUCUUAAGAAGACAUCAACAACCAAAUCAAUAGUAUUCCCAGUCAAACUAACCAAUUACCAAAGCUGAUUUCCAGGUUCGGACAGAAACAGGGCAGCAGGGGUAUUUUGGUCCUUUCACAGGCUACCGAACUCGGAUUGAGCUGAAAAUUUACAGGCAACUAUAAAACAUCAUUAUUUACAACUUUUAUGUUUUGUGCUAAGGCCAAUUCGGCCUCUAACUAUGAUGAACAGUGCCAGGCAGAAUUGGGGAAAUUCAAAACCCUAAUCUGGAAUUUCAUGCAUUCAAGUGCUAAUCCUCCAUAAAAUCACAUCUUUAACCAAUACAAACCAUUAAUUUGACAUUAGAAAGACCAAAGAAGGAAUUCAUAAGUCACUCACCUUGAAACCUCAAGAAAGGAAGCAACUUAGCACCAUUUUCUUCCAAACCACUUCACAACCAACCUCACAACCACUAAACUAAGGGUUUUUAUGGAGAAAUUGGAAGUUUAAACGGUUGAUUUGCUAGAUUUGAGCAAGAAAUUGAAGAAACAAGUUGAGAGCUUUCUUUUCUUUUCUUGGAGAGAGAGAGAGUCGGCCAAGACAAUAAAAUGGAAAGAAAUUGGGUCAAAAUUUGGUUUAGUAAAGGUUAAGACAAGUCCAAGUCAAAGUCAAGGUCCAAUGGUUUUGUGACAAAUGGUCCUUUAGGGUUUUAAUCUUAUCUUUUUGUCUCUCCAAUACAAAUAUCUUAACACAUUGUAAAAUAAUAUCACUUAAUACAAAAUUCCAACAAGUUGUCAAAAAUAUAAUGCAUUUACCGCACUUGCGGGUCCCACGUCCAAAAUACGCUUUUAAUUUCUCAAAAACUAACCGAUACUAGAAAAAUCAUUUUAAAACUAUUUUUGCUCAUAAACUUUAUUUGGGGAAUUUUUUCUAAUCAAGAAAAUGUAGAAAAGGCGGGCGUUAAAAAAAAUAAACCCUAGAAAAUUAGAAAAUUUCCGGGUUCUCAAACUCAUUUUUUUUUCGGGGCGUCACAAUCUCCCCUCCUUAAAAGAAUGUCGUCCUCGACAUUCCCUCUUGUACCAAUCAAAUCAAGACUUCCUGCACAAAUCUCUCAAGAGUCAAAUCAAACCCACAGUCCGGCAUCCUAAACUUCAAGCCUAGGAUACACUACAGAGAUCUGAAGCCUAAGCUCUGAUACCAACUGUGACGGCCCCACCUCCCCCUAAGGCGAACCAGAGGGUUCGGCGGGCCGCCUGCCCAGCUCUCGCCGGGACUCAGUCGCUCACUACAAUCCUCAAAUAUAUUACAAUACAAAUCUCAAAUAUACAUCAAAUGGUCCACAAAUACACAUCCGUCUCCAAUAAUUACAUGUCUCAAAUGCAGCGGAAACUAAUCCCAAAUAUACAGAAAAUAAUUCCAAAUCCAAAAUUGUACAAAGUUUAGGCCAUCCAUUCACGUGUAUAAGCACAACAAGUCCUUCUUUCGCCACGAGCCCUGUGGAGGGGAAUAAAAUAGUUUUUGGGGUGAGCUAAAAGCUCAGCGAGUAACCAGAAAAUCAUUAAUCAAAUCGGUUUCACAAUAGUUCAUUUCAAUGAUGUCAUAUAGCAAUGAUGUCGUAAAUCAAAUGAUAAAUCCGGAAACCACUACAACAUUUGCAAAACAGUAAAUAUGGAUUAGCAAUAAUUCAAGAAACAUUUACAAUGGAAAGCGAUAGUAACAUUCAUGAAAGGAUACAUUCAUUCUCCUGACAUUUCCUCGCUCAUUUGGUCAUUCAUUUCAUUUCAUUCACCCCGUCCCUGGCUUUUGGCCAGGCUCCACCAACCUACAUAGGUAAUACUCGAGUAUACCAAACGUUCACCCAAGUUCCUAAUCGCCUGACCGAGUCCGCUUCUGGCUCAAGACGACCGGUAACAAGGGGCAAUGGCCAGUUCAGCCCAAAAGGCUUACAUUCAUGCGCAAGUAACAUUUCAAUCGAAAAUUUCACAUUUAUCGAGGUCGAGUGCGAUAAAGUACACACUCGCCUCGAAAACUCGUUUUGGAAAUCAUUAUAAGCGCUUAACACGUUCAACCAAAAUACAAGUCAUGAAGUCAAGAAAUAUAGCAAACAAGGCACACUCACAUGCCAGCACGCAUGAUAUGCAAGAAAACAUUUCAAAAGUAACUUUGGAAACAGUUCAAAAGUAUAUAAUGUAAGAAACGGUUCAUAAAUAACUUUAGAAGUAGUUGGAGGUCACUCACCUCCAUGGCUCAGAAAUCAUCCAUCAUAUAACAUUGCCUUGCUCAAAUCCAAGUCUUAGAUCACAAACUCAAUGCAAACAAGUCCUUUAAAACUUCGGACAGCACUUCCCCUGAAUUUGCUUACUUUCCCAGCCAUCAUGGCUUCAUUAUUUCUUCAGCCAGUCCCAAAGGUACACACACAACAACAAGUUCAUCUAAUAGCUAUUCAACAAGCUCCAAGUAGUACUAGUACAAGUCAAGCUAGGAAAAAGUCCGGAAAUGAAGGUUAAGCUCAAAACCAGAAAAACAGUUUUGACGUCAUUUUGCGGUAAUGGUACCAAAGGCGCUACGAUUGUCGGAUGAAGGUGAAAGAUACACCGUUUCGAAGCUAGGAGAUAGGGCUACAACAUUACAGAAGGUCACUCAACCCAGUUUUGAGUGCAAACAGGUCAAAAAUGCAGAAUACCAACCCAGAACCGUAAUUGCAGGUUUACAAAUCACACCAUGCUGUAAUUAGUCCAACUCAGUCUAUACAGGUCCAAAUGCAUUGAUUCCAAAGGCAUGCGGUAGCUACGACCUCAAGCUACAUUUCAUAAGAAGACACCAACAUUCAAAUCCAAAGAAAUUCCAGUCAAAAUGGCCAAUUACAAGUGCAGUUUUCGCAUUCUGAUCAACCCAGAACAGCAACAGUAAAAUCGACAUAUCUCACUCUACACCACUCCAAAUGACCUGAAAUUUUGCAGGCACCUCUAAAUUAUCAUUCCAUACAACUUUCAUGAAGACCACUCAGUCCAGUUCUCACCCUAACUAGGUCAUAUUUACCAAAACAACCCCAGAUUUUCUAGUUCGAAGCUCACUGUGGCAGUUCUGAUUCAUUCAGUCAUAACUCAGA
rnacentral:lncRNA from 1 species